rnacentral:rRNA from 1 species
UACGAAGGGGGCUAGCGUUGCUCGGAAUUACUGGGCGUAAAGCGCACGUAGGCGGUCUUUUAAGUCGGGGGUGAAAUCCUGGAGCUCAACUCCAGAACUGCCUUCGAUACUGGAAGACUCGAGUCCGGGAGAGGUGAGUGGAACUGCGAGUGUAGAGGUGAAAUUCGUAGAUAUUCGCAAGAACACCAGUGGCGAAGGCGGCUCACUGGUCCAUAACUGACGCUGAGGCACGAAAGCGUGGGGAGCAAACAGG